AGCGACGUGAAUUGAUUAUCUUGGCUUAGGAUCAUGUGCCGCAAGGCGUGCGGGUUCGAGUCCCGCCUUCCCCACCA
rnacentral:tRNA from 1 species